rnacentral:rRNA from 1 species
AUUGAACGCUGGCGGCAGGCUUAACACAUGCAAGUCGAACGAUUGGCGGACGGGUGAGUAAUGCUUGGGAAUCUAGCUUAUGGAGGGGGAUAACUACGGGAACCUGUAGCUAAUACCGCGUACCAUAGGAUGAGCCCAAGUGGGUUUAGGUAGUUGGUGAGGUAAAGGCUCACCAAGCCGACGAUCUCUAGCUGGUCUGAGAGGAUGACCAGCAAAACUGGGACGGAGACACGGCCCAGACUCGUACGGGAGGAAGCAGUGGGGAAUAUUGCGAAAUGGGGGAAACCUGACGCAGCCAGGCCGCGUGAAUGAAGAAGGCCUUCGGGUGGUAAAGUUCUUUCGGUAGCGAGGCGUUAACUACAGAAGAAGCACCGGCUAACUCCGUGCCAGCAGCCGCGGUAAUUC